UACAGGUGGUGGACAUUUAGACCGGAGUAAAAUUGUUCGGGAUCUUAAUGAUCUGACUGGAGAAGGAAAUAUUGAGAGUAUGCUUUCAGUUGAAAUGGGCCUUAGGGAAUUAGCAUCUUUGAAGGUUGAGGAUGCUGUUGUACAGGCAUUAGGCAGGCAUAGGCGACUUGGUUAACGUUGUAUAAGCAAAUGUUGAUUUUCUUUGUGAAAUGGUUGAUAUCCUCAAAGUUGAAGUCUUGGAAGAACAGCUCAGUAGAAAGAGUGAGUCAUUGGCAGGGUUACGCCCAUCAUUAGAAAGAAUUUUGGCAGACAUUCAUGAACGCUUGACUUUUCGUGCUCGAACAUAUAUCCGUGAUGAGAUUGCAAAUUAUAUCCCGAUUAACGAAGACUUGAAUUAUCCUGCAAAACUGGAGCAUUCUGCAGACGUGGUGUCAGAAACAGCUACAAUGGAAAGCUACUUUCCUGCAAGUCAAUUCAGACCCUCAUGCUUGGUUAACGUAUUUCUGGAGAAGAGCCAAAGUGUAUGGCAUGGAAGAUGAUAUGGCGUUUUCUUUUUGUUUUGUUCUACAAUUUUCAAGUUAUUCUUGGGUCUCAUAGUUUUCUACUUUUACUCUUUUACUAAGAUUAAAUGCCAUCAGGAUUAUUGUUUCCUCUAAUAGAUCUAGCAUAUCGAUUUGAUUAAGCUUCUUUGUUUCAGCGCUUGAGAAGCUGUUAAAAGAUCAUGCUGGAAAAUAUAUGACUGGAGAUGAAGUUUCUAUGGGGUGCUUCCUGCAGCAAUAUGUGAUUAAGAAAAUGUAAAUCAGGCAGAUCUGUUUCUAGCACCACAAAUUCUGGCUGGGAUUGAACGAUUCAAUGUUGACAUGGAAACAAGAAGAGCCUGGUUGAUGCUAUUGAAAAAGGGAUUGAUCUAUGCAAACAAAUACUAGAACUGUAUAAUGAUUAUUACCAUGGCAGACUGAUGAAGUUAGUGGUAAUUGGUGGUGAGUCUUUGGAUGUACUUUAGCACUGGGUUGUUGAAUUAUUUUCUAACGUCAGACAAGGUUCUCAAGGAAAGCCAGAGUUUAAGGUGGAAGGUCCUGUCUGGAGAGCUGGUAAACUUUACAGGUUAGAGGCAGUUAAGGAUGUCCAUAUCCUUGAAUUAAGGUGGGCACUGCCUUGUCUUUUGCAAGCGUAUCUGCGGAAACCAGAAGAUUAUCUGGCUCAUCUUCUUGGCCAUGAAUUGAGAUGGAUUUCCAGCUUGGAGGAUGUAUAGAGCCUGGAGAAGUUUAUGAUAAAUAAUGUGCUUGUUGUUGCACUUAUAUUAAAUAUUGUACCCUUUUUUGCGAAAUUGUUGUAUUUUGAAAUAUCUUUAAGAUUAAGGAACUAUACUAAAUGCGGUCACAAAACUUAUGUAAUUCUAAUAUAGAAUGUAAACAAUUUUCUUAUGUAAUUCUAAUAUAGAAUGUAUCUUGUUUUAA